rnacentral:rRNA from 1 species
ACUCCUACGGGAGGCAGCAGUAGGGAAUAUUGGACAAUGGGCGAAAGCCUGACGCAGCGACGCCGCGUGGGGGAUGACGGCCUUCGGGUUGUAAACCUCUUUCAGCAGGGACGAAGCGAAAGUGACGGUACCUGCAGAAGAAGCACCGGCCAACUACGUGCCAGCAGCCGCGGUAAU